GUCAUCAAAUGCAACUAAAAAAAAAAAAAACAUUUAAAGCUGCAUCACUGUUUAAAGUAUUUAAAGAAAGUCACGUUCAUAUAAAAAAAAAAAAAAACUUUUUAAAGGAACGCAGCAAGUAGUGUUUUUUAAACGGAUGCAAUAUUUACAAGAUAAGAUUUGUCUUAUGCCUUGUUUAUGAUUUUAGUUGUUUAAGAUUUUAGAUUUUAUUUAUGAAACUUAUUUUUCCAUUCUAAAGUUGAGCAUUUUAAAGUUUUUAAAAAUGAUUUUGUUUUUUCGAAAAGACCUUGUAUGAUCUGUGGUGAAACUGUUUUUAAAAAGCUGCUUUAAAAACGUAUUUAGGGUUGGGGAUGCUUCGUUCAGCUGUACAUCUCUAGAUUCCCAGUCUAAAAGUCUUUAAAUUGUGAAGAAAAAGUUGUUGAUGAUAGAGCAAAUAAUGAAUCAGCUCAAAUUAAAUAUUUCAAUAAACACUAUAACUGUAAUUUGCAGUAUGAACGAUGAAAUAAAAAGUCAGAAAAGUUUUCAAAUCUUAAUGAGUGUGCUCAUUGCGAAACACUGUCAUUGUUGAUGUUGAUGUUUCACGAGAUGGUGUAUCGAAACGAACAUGUUACUAUAUCUAUCAAUAGUGGAAGUAGAGUUUGUAAAGAUCAACUUAUAGGAUCAUUGUUUUAAUGCUACCAAAAAAGAAAUGUGACCCGUUAUUUCUUGCUGGCGAAGAACUGUACAAAGUGUAAUUAAAUAGAACCACAUUGUAUUUUGAUUACAAUAUCAUGUUGUAUUUUGAUUACAAUGGGUCGCAUUGCGAUGAACGAUAACAUUAUUUAUCACUAAUUUAAUUAACUUAACCUAGAUUAACGGAAUGCAUAAAUUAAUUAGUUAACCAAAACUUAACCUUAUAUUUAGCAAGUUUCAAAAUACAAGAAAAUAACUGUCAAAAAAAAAGUAUUUCCCGACGUUUUGACAAUGUCAUGUCUAUCUGUUAUUUAAUCAUUCAUUUCUAAAUUCCAAUAAUUAUGCAGCAAGAGCACUGAUUAGAAAAACCUAAAUAGUGAUUAAAAUGGCGUGACAAAACAUUUCCAAUAAUGGUUUUAAAAGGUUUAACUCUGGGUAGUUUACUAUAUGCAAAUGGUCCGCAAGCAAUUGUGAAAUUCGAAAAUUGUUAUUUAGUUUAAGUAAAGCAUUAAGUUGAGUUUUCACAACACAUUUUUACGUUUUGUUUUUA